GGCAGGUACAGAGGGAGUGCUACCGGGCGACCGGAUGCGGAUCUCGAAAGCCUGUCCCAGUUCGGACUGGAGUCUGCAACCCGACUCCACGAAGUUGGAUUCGCUAGUAAUCGCGCAUCAGCCAUGGCGCGGUGAAUACGUUCCCGGGCCUUGUACACACCGCCCGUCAAGCCAUGGGAGCCGGGGGCGCCUGAAGUCCGGGACCGCGAGGACCGGCCUAGGGCGAAACUGGUAACUGGGGCUAAGUCGUAACAAGGUAUC
rnacentral:rRNA from 1 species